AGGUACUUAGGUUAAAACAAGACCAGAAGCCUUCAAAGCUCCAAGCGGGAGUGAGAAUCUCCCAGUCCCUG
rnacentral:tRNA from 1 species